rnacentral:lncRNA from 1 species
CUCUUUUCCAUCGCACUGUGAAAUGAUAGAAGUGGCAAGUGUGGUCUGUGUUUCAUUCUUUCUCUUUUUUCCUUAGUUUUGAGAAGACGCAUUGACUGUGCCCAGAAUUUCUCUCCCUUCUUCAUCCUCUAUGUCAUGAAAGUUCAGAUAAGGAAGCCACAUUUCUGCUCAUAUUUGAUUUAUUUGGAGAACUCUCAGAUGUAUAAUUAUGAUGCCUAAUCUACCAUUGAAUAUAUUUCAGGUAAGAAAUUUAAAUAGUUCUCAAUAUUCUAUAGUAGGUUCUCUAUAAAAUUAUUUACAAGAUAAAUUAAAUACACCAAAGACUUUCAAGAAUGCAUAGAAAGCAUUUAUAGCUAAUGUUGUCAACACACCA